rnacentral:lncRNA from 1 species
CUCAUCUUUCAAGCAUAUUCAAUGAUCUUCAUACUAGGCAAUAUGGUGGCUUCUCAGUCACAAUUAUCUGGUGGGGAAGAUGCCAUCAACACCACAAUAAUCAACUUCAAUAACGAGAAGAUGCAGAUCACAUGGGCAACAAGAGAGCUUUUUCCCAAUGAGAAUGUGUCAUUUUUUUACAAAUUUGGUGAAGGCAAGAACAAAGUUUGGAAGCCAUGUACCACCUAUUUAUUGGAUCAAGAUUAUAAUUCUGGAUGUCUUUUUAAGACAGAAGGACCUACCCUUACCAUUUCUAUCAGGAACAGCAAUGGAAG